rnacentral:rRNA from 1 species
UUGUAAAGCACUUUCAGUCGUGAGGAAGGUAGUGUAGUUAAUAGCUGCAUUAUUUGACGUUAGCGACAGAAGAAGCACCGGCUAACUCCGUGCCAGCAGCCGCGGUAAUACGGAGGGUGCGAGCGUUAAUCGGAAUUACUGGGCGUAAAGCGCAUGCAGGUGGUUUGUUAAGUCAGAUGUGAAAGCCCGGGGCUCAACCUCGGAAUAGCAUUUGAAACUGGCAGACUAGAGUACUGUAGAGGGGGUAGAAUUUCAGGUGUAGCGGUGAAAAUGCGUAGAGAUCUGAAGGAAUACCGGUGGCGAAGGCGGCCCCCUCGGACAGAUACUGACACUCAGAUGCGAAAGCGUGGGGAGCAAACAGGAUUAGAUACCCCUGGUAG